rnacentral:misc_RNA from 1 species
GAAAAAUACAGUUAUGGCUGAGGCUAUCCAGUACUCUUGGAGUUUGCUCAUCAAUUAUGAAGACCCUUGCUUCUUCUUCCCUAGCUUCCCUGACAUCACCAAUUAUCUCUUAGCGCCUCAUGAAUGUCGACACGACAAUCGAAGCCAGUAAUAGCUAAGAUGUCCACUAAGCUUCAAAGCCAGAAAUCCAACCUCUUCCAGCAUUUUGCAUUAGUUGUAUAUACAUCCUAACAAGAAAAAGGGAAAACAUGAAACUGACCAGCAAGAGAAUCAAGCAUCAUAGUCAUCAUCAAAGGGCAAUGUGAUAAACUGACGAAGCUUCUGAAGAUUAUCA